UCGGAUAUGGUGUAACGGCUAACAUUGCCGCCUCUCAGCCUCUGGACGGUGCGCGGCAGCUCGGGGUUCGAUUCCCCGUAUCCGAA